rnacentral:rRNA from 1 species
GCGCAACGACUUGGGCGCUGUCUCGACCAUGGACCCGGUGAAAUUGCACUGGUCGUGAAGAUGCGACUUACCCGCGGAAGGACGGAAAGACCCCGUGAACCUUCACUGCAGCUUGGCAUUGGCCGCUGGUCCCGCGUGUAGAGGAUAGGCAGGAGGCAUCGAUCCGGAGGCGCCAGCCCCCGGGGAGCCGCCCUUGGAAUACUGCCCUCGCGCGACCGGCGUCCUAACCCGAGGCCGUCAACCGGCUCGGGGACCGUGCCAGGCGGGCAGUUUGACUGGGGCGGUCGCCUCCUAAAGGGUAACGGAGGCGCGCGAAGGUCCGCUCGGGACGGUCGGCAACCGUCCUUUUGAAUGCAAGAGUACAAGCGGGCUUGACUGCGAGGCCCACAAGCCGAGCAGGUGCGAAAGCAGGCUCUAGUGAUCCGGCGGCCCCGAGUGGGUGGGCCGUCGCUCAACGGAUAAAAGGUACUCCGGGGAUAACAGGCUGAUCUUGCCCAAGAGUCCACAUCGACGGCAAGGUUUGGCACCUCGAUGUCGGCUCAUCGCAUCCUGGGGCUGGAGCAGGUCCCAAGGGUACGGCUGUUCGCCGUUUAAAGCGGUACGCGAGCUGGGUUCAGAACGUCGUGAGACAGUUCGGUCCCUAUCCUCCGUGGGCGCAGGAGAAUCGAUGGAGGCUGCCCCCAGUACGAGAGGACCGGGGUGGACGCACCUCCGGUGAACCGGUUGUCGACCAACGGCACGGCCGGGUAGCCGCGUGCGGCGCGGAUAACCGCUGAAGGCAUCUAAGCGGGAAGCCGUUCCAGGGAUUAGUUCUCCUUCCGGUAAGGGCCCAGGUAGACUACCUGGUCGAUAGACGGCAGGUGCAAGGACGGCGACGUCCUCAGCCGAGCCGCACUAAUCGCCCGAGCUCUUCCGGAA